GGACGAACGCUGGCGGCGUGCUUAACACAUGCAAGUCGAGCGGUAAGGCCCUUUCGGGGGUACACGAGCGGCGAACGGGUGAGUAACACGUGGGUGACCUGCCCUCAGCUCUGGGAUAAGCCUGGGAAACCGGGUCUAAUACUGGAUAUGACUCCAUGACGCAUGUUGUGGGGUGGAAAGCCUUGUGCGGCUGAGGAUGGGCCCGCGGCCUAUCAGCUUGUUGGUGGGGUGAUGGCCUACCAAGGCGACGACGGGUAGCCGGCCUGAGAGGGCGACCGGCCACACUGGGACUGAGACACGGCCCAGACUCCUACGGGAGGCAGCAGUGGGGAAUCUUGCGCAAUGGGCGAAAGCCUGACGCAGCGACGCCGCGUGAGGGAUGACGGCCUGG
rnacentral:rRNA from 1 species